AAUUCCAUCAUUUUAAUACCUUAUAUCUUUAUAAAUUUUAAAAGUUGAAAUUAAACUUUUAUCAUUUUUAAGGAUUCAAUAUAUAAGUUUAGCAUUAUUAAUUUAAAAUUUAUAAAUUAUAAAGGAGGUUUACAAUUUUAGGGGCAUAGUUCCCGAGCAUAUAAACCAUGAUUUAAGCUUAAUAUGUAUAAUUAUAGCCAAUCAAAAUUUAUAGAUAUUUAUACGAAGAAAAUGAAGGGAGGGGGGAGGAGGGUAAAAAAAGGGCAAAUAAAUAACAAAAAUUCCUAAACAGAAAAAAGAAAUAGCAACAGAAUCCACAGAUAUCAUAAUAUAAAGAAGCCAAAAACACAAAAAGGCGUGGUCAGGCAGCCUGCCUUACACUCUCUAAAAUGCAGAUUAUGGAAAUCAACUGUUGAGUCAUUCAGUCAUAUCGUCCUUGAGUUGUGGGUUUGAAUUGAGGAAGAAGAAGAUGGGGAUAGGGAGAAUGGUGGUGAGCUUGAAAUCAAAACUAAGGAGCUUGAAGAUGACGAAGAAGAAACCAACAACAACAGGUGAGCAUUAUUGUUAUUAUGAUAAGAUGGAAAAGACGGAGAGCAUGAGGGUUGAGAUUAGGAGCAGGAAAGCUCGUAAGCUUAUCCAAGAUACUCUCAAGAUUGCUGAUUCACCCCAUACCAGGACUUUCCAUUUCUGAUUUUUAUUUUUCCUUCAUUUUCUUGCUUUCCUUGCUCUCUGUCUAAUUUCAGUGUUUAAUUUCCAUGAAUCGUUAUAAACUUGAAAUUUCAUGUUUAUCUGUAAAAUUAUAAAGUAUGCGUCUACGUAACUCUUUUCAUUUUAUCUUUA